rnacentral:rRNA from 1 species
AUUGAACGCUGGCGGCAUGCCUUACACAUGCAAGUCGAACGGUAACGCGGGGCAACCUGGCGACGAGUGGCGAACGGGUGAGUAAUGCAUCGGAACGUGCCCAGUAGUGGGGGAUAGCCCGGCGAAAGCCGGAUUAAUACCGCAUACGACCUACGGGUGAAAGGGGGGAGUCGCAAGACCUCUCGCUAUUGGAGCGGCCGAUGUCAGAUUAGGUAGUUGGUGGGGUAAAGGACCUACCAAGCCUGUGAUCUGUAGCUGGUCGUGAGAGGACGACCAGCCACACUGGGACGUGAGACACGGCCC